UCGAACGAGAAAGCCCGUCUUCGGAUGGGCAAGUAAAGUGGCGUACGGGUGAGUAACGCGUAGGCAACCUGCCCCAAUGUUCGGGAUAACAGUGCGAAAGCGCUGCUAAUACCGGAUGUUCCCAUUUGGCGGUGGCUAAAUGGGCAAAGUCGGCCUCUCAAAGAAGCUGACGCACUGGGAUGGGCCUGCGUCCUAUCAGCUUGUUGGUAAGGUAACGGCUUACCAAGGCUUCGACGGGUAGCUGGUCUGAGAGGAUGAUCAGCCACACUGGCACUGAAACACGGGCCAGACUCCUACGGGAGGCAGCAGUGAGGAAUUUUGCGCAAUGGCCGCAAGGCUGACGCAGCAACGCCGCGUGGGUGAAGAAGGCCUUCGGGUCGUAAAGCCCUGUCAGGUGGGAAGAAUGGCUCGGAGAUGAAUAAGCUCCGAGUGUGACGGUACCACCAGAGGAAGCACCGGCUAACUCCGUGCCAGCAGCCGCGGUAAUACGGAGGGUGCAAGCGUUAUUCGGAAUUACUGGGCGUAAAGCGCGUGCAGGCGGGCCUGCAAGUCUGAUGUGAAAGCCCUGGGCUUAACCCGGGAAGUGCAUUGGAAACUGCAGGUCUUGAGUGCUGGAGAGGAAGGGGGAAUUCCCGGUGUAGAGGUGAAAUUCGUAGAGAUCGGGAGGAAUACCAGUGGCGAAGGCGCCCUUCUGGACGGCAACUGACGCUGAGACGCGAAAGCGUGGGGAGCAAACAGGAUUAGAUACCCUGGUAGUCCACGCUGUA
rnacentral:rRNA from 1 species